CAUCAUACCAUAGAUAUUUUUCUCUGACAAACUUGUAAAUUUUCUUUUUAUCUGCAGUUGUGCUUCUUGCAUUGUUGUUAUGUGUGACGUCAUAACGUAUAGUAAUUUUGAACACCACUAAUACACUUUAAAAUAGAAACAGAUUUAUAAAACAACCUUUGUAGCACGUGAUCGUAAUAUCCAAUGAAAACAGGAGAAGUCUACACCAUAUGUUAUAUAAUCAAAUAUUUGAAAGUGUUUUGAGAAUAUAUUAAAUGUCAAACAAACAUUUAUGGACCUACACCCGAUCAAAUGUAGGGCAUCUACCAAGUCAUGCUAUCUGCACCAUGUGUUGUUUGUUUGUGUUUUAGCGCAAUGCUAUACAACAUCCUACUUGAUUUUCUUUACACAUUUUUUUCGAUUGUCAUUGAUUAAUGAGUCUUUUGCUAAAAUUAAUUUUAAGAUACCAAGACCUUCUUGAUACAUAUUCCUUAUCAACUUCACAAAUAAU
rnacentral:lncRNA from 1 species